GACGAAGGAAGCUUGCUUCCUCUGACGUUAGCGGCGGACGGGUGAGUAACACGUGGAUAACCUACCUAUAAGACUGGGAUAACUUCGGGAAACCGGAGCUAAUACCGGAUAAUAUAUUGAACCGCAUGGUUCAAUAGUGAAAGACGGUUUUGCUGUCACUUAUAGAUGGAUCCGCGCCGCAUUAGCUAGUUGGUAAGGUAACGGCUUACCAAGGCAACGAUGCGUAGCCGACCUGAGAGGGUGAUCGGCCACACUGGAACUGAGACACGGUCCAGACUCCUACGGGAGGCAGCAGUAGGGAAUCUUCCGCAAUGGGCGAAAGCCUGACGGAGCAACGCCGCGUGAGUGAUGAAGGUCUUCGGAUCGUAAAACUCUGUUAUUAGGGAAGAACAAAUGUGUAAGUAACUAUGCACGUCUUGACGGUACCUAAUCAGAAAGCCACGGCUAACUACGUGCCAGCAGCCGCGGUAAUACGUAGGUGGCAAGCGUUAUCCGGAAUUAUUGGGCGUAAAGCGCGCGUAGGCGGUUUUUUAAGUCUGAUGUGAAAGCCCACGGCUCAACCGUGGAGGGUCAUUGGAAACUGGAAAACUUGAGUGCAGAAGAGGAAAGUGGAAUUCCAUGUGUAGCGGUGAAAUGCGCAGAGAUAUGGAGGAACACCAGUGGCGAAGGCGACUUUCUGGUCUGUAACUGACGCUGAUGUGCGAAAGCGUGGGGAUCAAACAGGAUUAGAUACCCUGGUAGUCCACGCCGUAAACGAUGAGUGCUAAGUG
rnacentral:rRNA from 1 species